rnacentral:sRNA from 1 species
AACAACUGAAAGGAGGUGAUCCAGUGUCUCAUUGUCAUCAACCGCUGGUGCAGAGCGGGCGGACCUGGACCUCUUCUUGCUGGGGUUUCUAUUCCGCGUGAGUUUUCGCACCUUCAGAUCCGGUUCGCCGGGUCGCGGUUCGGCAAUGGAAGGGCUGCCCGCAAGGGCGGCC